GCGUUCUUAGCUCAGUUGGUAGAGCAGGUGACUCUUAAUCACCGGGUCGGGGGUUCGAGUCCCUCAGGACGCAC
rnacentral:tRNA from 1 species